rnacentral:rRNA from 1 species
UACAGAGGUCUCAAGCGUUGUUCGGAUUCAUUGGGCGUAAAGGGUGCGUAGGCGGCGGGGUAAGUCAGGUGUGAAAUCCCGGAGCUCAACUCCGGAACUGCACUUGAUACUGCCUUGCUCGAGUACUGGAGAGGAGACUGGAAUUUACGGUGUAGCAGUGAAAUGCGUAGAUAUCGCUUGGAACGCCGAAGGUGAAAACAGGUUGCUGGGGAUGUGCCGACGCUGAGACACGAAAGCCAGGGGAGCAAACGGG